UCGAGGGGUAUAGGUUUUCGGACCUAGAGACCGGCGCACGGGUGCGUAACGCGUAUGCAAUCUACCUUUCACAGAGGGAUAGCCCAGAGAAAUUUGGAUUAAUACCUCAUAGUAUUACGAGAUGGCAUCAUUUUGUAAUUAAAGUCACAACGGUGAAAGAUGAGCAUGCGUCCCAUUAGCUUGUUGGUAAGGUAACGGCUUACCAAGGCUACGAUGGGUAGGGGUCCUGAGAGGGAGAUCCCCCACACUGGUACUGAGACACGGACCAGACUCCUACGGGAGGCAGCAGUGAGGAAUAUUGGUCAAUGGACGCAAGUCUGAACCAGCCAUGCCGCGUGCAGGAUGACGGUCCUAUGGAUUGUAAACUGCUUUUGCACAGGAAGAAACAACAUUACGUGUAAUGUCUUGACGGUACUGUGAGAAUAAGGAUCGGCUAACUCCGUGCCAGCAGCCGCGGUAAUACGGAGGAUCCAAGCGUUAUCCGGAAUCAUUGGGUUUAAAGGGUCCGUAGGCGGCUUAGUAAGUCAGUGGUGAAAGCCCAUCGCUCAACGGUGGAACGGCCAUUGAUACUGCUAGACUUGAAUUAUUAGGAAGUAACUAGAAUAUGUAGUGUAGCGGUGAAAUGCUUAGAGAUUACAUGGAAUACCAAUUGCGANNNCNGGUUACUACUAAUGGAUUGA
rnacentral:rRNA from 1 species